GACGAACGCUGGCGGCGUGCUUAACACAUGCAAGUCGAGCGGUAAGGCCCUUUCGGGGGUACACGAGCGGCGAACGGGUGAGUAACACGUGGGUGACCUGCCCUCAGCUCUGGGAUAAGCCUGGGAAACCGGGUCUAAUACUGGAUAUGACUCCAUGACGCAUGUUGUGGGGUGGAAAGCCUUGUGCGGCUGAGGAUGGGCCCGCGGCCUAUCAGCUUGUUGGUGGGGUGAGGCCUACCAAGGCGACGACGGGUAGCCGGCCUGAGAGGGCGACCGGCCACACUGGGACUGAGACACGGCCCAGACUCCUACGGGAGGCAGCAGUGGGGAAUCUUGCGCAAUGGGCGAAAGCCUGACGCAGCGACGCCGCGUGAGGGAUGACGGCCUGGUUCGUAACGUCUUCUACGUCUCCGACGAACGACGAGAGUGACGGUAGGAGCGAGAAGAA
rnacentral:rRNA from 1 species